rnacentral:rRNA from 1 species
UGAGUACAAGAUGCUACGGCAUCGAAGCAGUCUAUGUCAUACUUCCAAGAAAAGCUUGCAAUGUCAUAAACAAAUAAUGCCUGUACCAUAACCGACACAGGUGGGUAGGUAGAGUAUACUAAGGGGCGCGAGAUAACUCUCUCUAAGGAACUCGGCAAAAUGACUCCGUAACUUCGGGAGAAGGAGUACCUUAUUUUAUAAGGUUGCAAUAACAAGGUCCAAGCGACUGUUUACCAAAAACACAGGUCUCCGCUAAGUCGUAAGACGAUGUAUGGGGGCUGACGCCUGCCCAGUGCCAGAAGGUUAAAGAAGUUGGUUAGCAUUAGCGAAGCUGAUAACUGAAGCCCUGGUGAACGGCGGCCGUAACAAUAACGGUCCUAAGGUAGCGAAAUUCCUUGUCGGGUAAGUUCCGACCCGCACGAAAGGCGUAAUGAUUUGGAUACUGUCUCGGAGAGGGGCUCGGUGAAAUAGACUUGUCUGUGAAGAUGCGGACUACCUGCACCUGGACAGAAAGACCCUAUGAAGCUUUACUGUAACUUGAGAUUGAAAUUGGACUUUAUUUGCGCAGUAUAGGUGGGAGACCUCGAAAGUAUUCUUGCGGGAAUAUUGGAGUCAUCAGUGAGAUACCACUCUUAUAAUGUUAGAUUUCUAACUUUGUAUCAUUAUCUGGUCAAAGAACAGUUUCAGGCGGGCAGUUUGACUGGGGCGGUCGCCUCCCAAAUGGUAACGGAGGCGCACAAAGGUUUCCUCUGAACGUGUAGAAAUCGUAUCUAGAGUGUAAAGGCAUAAGGAAGCUUGGCUGUGAGACCUACAAGUCGAGCAGGGACGAAAGUCGGUCUUAGUGAUCUGACGGUGCUGAGUGGAAAGGCCGUCACUCAACGGAUAAAAGUUACUCUAGGAUAACAGGCUGAUCUCCCCCAAGAGUUCACAUCGACGGGGAGGUUUGGCACCUCGAUGUCGGCUCAUCGCAUCCUGGGGCGGUAGUACGUCCCAAGGGUUGGGCUGUUCGCCCAUGAAAGCGGUACGCGAGCUGGGUUCAGAACGUCGUGAGACAGUUCGGUCCAUAUCCGGUGUAGGCGUUAGAAUAUUGAGAGGAGCCUUCUUUAGUACGAGAGGACCGAGAAGGACAUACCUCUGGUGUACCAGUUAUCGUGCCAACGGUAAACGCUGGGUAGCUAUGUAUGGAGAGGAUAACCGCUGAAAGCAUCUAAGUGGGAAGCCCACCUCAAGAUAAGUAUUCUU